UUGAAGGGGAAGUCUUGGCUUCUGAGAGGGAGGCAGAAGUAAACACUCUCCAAAAUGGUUUAAGAAAUGGGGUCAGUGGGCUGUAUUCCCAUUGAGCCCUGUAACUGCUUAACACCUUCAGGACGACAUGACCGUAGACAGCAGGGCUUCAGAGGACACAGCAGUGGGCAGGAGUGAAGUUUCACAAUAGGAUCCAGGGUCCUACGAUAUCAUCGAACUUCCCAGGAAAGAGGCAAGGCUUGGACACUGUAUGACAGCUGCCAGGUUAACAGAAGUUAACGCAGGAAAGACUCUGGGGUAGGCAGCAGAUACCCUGCUCAGCCUUGAUUUCGUCCUGCAUUUCUGAAGAGCCAGCAUGGGCCCUCCAUUCUUCACACUCCAGCAAGAGUGAAUUUGCAUGCCAGGAAAAACUGAAAGGCCAUACUUCUUCCUUCGAAUCAAGUUGUUAUUGUUCAAAUCCAUUAUUAACGAUCGGGGCUGCAGUCGUUUACAACGUGGUCAUCACAAAAGCAGCUGUUACCAUUUACACGUGGCUCUCUGUGCGUUCGUUAUUAAGGGACGCCAGAUGCCAGAGAGAGGAAAAGCGGGAACGAAAGAUGGAAAGCUCAGAGUUAUGAAAAAUGGGAGUAGGAACAGAG
rnacentral:sRNA from 1 species